rnacentral:tRNA from 1 species
UUUCUGGUGGUCUAGUGGCUAAGACUCUGCACUCCCAAUGCGAGGGGCCCAGGUUCAAUCCCUGUUCGGGGAA